GAACCAUUCAACUUCAGCUUCUUUGGCAUUGUGGUUGGGGCAUAGACUUGGAUUACUGUGAUAUUGAACGGUUUGCCUUGGAAAUGAACAGAGAUCAUCCUGUCCGUUUUGCAAAAUCCCAUAGACAAAGGAGCCUGGCAAGCUACAGUCCUUGGGAUGGCAAGAGUCAGACACGACUUAGCAACUAAACAACGACCACCACCACCACUGUUCAUGGUGUUCUCAAGAGGAAAAGCUCCUGUGAAACUGUCAUCUAUAUGUCAAAAAGUGGAGCUCACAGACCAACUGAAAAAAUAGGAUGACCAUUCUGAUCCCCUGGGAGGAAAUGCGUGGAGCAGCAGACAGAAUGGAAGGGCAGCUUAUGGAGCCUAAAGAAACUCGUGGCGAUCAGCGGCCCUGGUGCUUUCCACCUGGAAAUCCUCCCUUUUCAUCCUUGGUUGGUGGGGAGGGCCAAAGUGAACACACCAGAUCUAGUGGAGGCCUCCCUUGAGGAAACCACAUGAGAAGACGCUAAGUCCCCAGAAACAACUUUCAUUUUUCUGCCUGCUUCUCGGCUCUGGCCUCUGGAGAAAAGUUCUCGCCUGCCUGCUUCGCUCAAGAGUUUAUCAGGCGGUUCCCCGGGACCCAGAUGGCCCAGCCACUCCUGAACCACCUGAGGAGGGAGUCUCACCAAAGCCUGCAUGGGGCCCCUUCCAGGUGCAAAGCCGGGCAAGAGAACACGCCUUUUGAGGAUGACGAUCGCCCUCCUCUUCGCGGAGAGCCGCGGUCCUUACACACUCCGAGCUGGGAGUAGGCUCCCCGGCGUCCGGGGAGGGGGCGGUAGCAGGGAUCGGUCUUCCGCACGUUGUAGCUUGGCACCCACUCCCAAUGGCUCAAAAUUCUCCAAACAGCAGAAAGGGCUUGAAAAGAGAUAAAUAAUGACA
ensembl:lncRNA